UCUUCUAGGCCCGCCUGUAACCUCUGAUGUUGAUAUCGGGACUCUUCAUGCCAAAAACCCAUUAGACCUUUGGAAAAAGGUUUUUGAAAGGGUUUUCCCACCUGAGAACAUCAAGGAACGUAAGGAGCUGAAAGAUCCUGCCAAAGACCCCCAGUACAGUGAGCCCCUUAUAGACUCUAUCAGAGCUCAGAAAGACCAGGAGCUGGAGCAGUACAAGAGAAAACAAGCAAAGUCAUGGAAAAGUUUGGCUCUGGAUCCAUAGAUUUCACUCAAAACCCUUUAGAAGACCUACAUCUGUAUUAAUGUAUUGUACUGGACUUCAUCCACUUAACAUUAUGUACCAUAAAGAAUGAAAUGUCUUCAUGUAUGAAUAUUGCUAUAAUGUGUAAUGGUAGUAUGGCUGUCUAUGUGGCUAACCUUUGUAGCUCAUAUUGCUUCUUUGUAGUUAAAUACAAUUUGGAGAAUGUAUUUUGUAAAUAAAUUAUUAAAUGGAUUAUUUUGUAUAUUGCCCUAUCAAAGCAUCCCUUGAUAAAUAUCAAAUUAUUUCAACUGGACACAACACAACUCGAAAUUAAACAAAAAUUUUUUUAAUAUGCUGUCCC